UCCUCAUUCUUUUCUCUCACCAAAAACACUUUGCCCGACUCCAUCAUAGCCUUUGUUUCUCUCCAUCUCCAUCUUCUCUUUCUAGAUAUACACUACUUUCUCUUCCACUCUUCCACCUCUUCAGUUCUCAUUCACUUUCUUUCUCUUCAUCUCCACGGCACUCUUUCGCCUCGACCCCCCUCUCUUUCAUCACUUUCAUUCCUCUGCCUCUCUCUCCCUCCUCGACGAAGCCCUAAUGCUCUCAGUAAGGUAUGGUGUACUGACGAAGGCUUCUGGGGACUUGGCGAUGCGGAGGCUCGACAUGCUCAACAACGCAUGGCUGGCGAUGGGGAUGUGGUGUGGUCGACGAUGCGAGGCUGGAAACAGGGCUGGGUUUGAAGCUUAGAGCUAGGUUGAAGUUUGAGGGUUGGUUAAUUUGUAGAGAAAGGGUCGAGAAGAAAGGGAGAGAGCGUUGUUUCUCAAGAUUAAUGCAGAUUGGAACUGGUUUAUCACAUUAAGUGCUGCUGAUUAUCCACUCAUGACUCAGGAUGCCAUUUAUUAUUGGGUUUCUUAUCAAUACCAUAAAUUUCGUCAAGAAUUUGCUGAGUUCUACAAAAGUGCUCUUCUUUACUUAGCGUAUACCUUAGUGGAAUCUCUGUCAGAAUCAUUUAAGCUGGUAAGGAUGGUAGUUGAUGAGAGCUCAGGAGGAUUUGGUUUCAUAGGGAAGAAUGAGAUUAUAAAUGGGAAGGCAGCUGUAAUUGGGUUCUUGCUGUUGUUGGAUUUUGAGCUAUUGACUAGUAAAGAUAUUCUUAAGGGAACAGGCUUCUUGGACUUUAUUUAUUCAAUUUUAAAUGCUUUGCAAUAGUCUCAGGAAUUAAUCAUAUUCCUCUUAAAUGAGAUGAGGAAGUUUUAAAGGCUUUGUUGAGUUCACUGUGUUUUUAUGUUAUAAUCUUUCUUUAUGUUAUUGUUUUGUGUAGAAACUAGGAUGAUCUAUAUAGUUUCUUCUUCUUCAUGUUUUCUACAGUAUAUAUCUUUUACCAAACUGUACAAUAACGCUUUUGAAGUAAUGAAAAUGUGUUUAUAUUUUUUUACUUUUGGACAUAUCACUCUGUUUGUUUUUCUUUUCUGCUUACAUAGCCAGUCAGGUGGAUAAGUUAAUAUUUAUCUAUUACAUAUUUGGUUUUGAAAAGUAGUGGAUACAAUAAGUUACUAAAGAGUAACUGAAAUAAUAAGUUACCUUUUCGAAAAUAUUAAAGUUACUAAAAUAUAAGUAAAAUUAAAAUAAUAAAUUACUAAAGUAAUGAGGCUACGAAUGUUAUCAAAACAAUAAGACAUAUUUUUAAAAGUAACAAAGUAUUAAGUUUCUAAAAACUAAUUAACACUAAUAUAUCACGUUGGAGUUAGUGACUGAUAGGAAAUUAAAAUAGUUUAAAAGGUUAAUUUAUGGCCAGCUGGCAAAAGAAUAAACUUAUGUGGUCUUCUUGUAUUGUGAAUCUUGUGAUACAAUCAUACAAGGUUAAUUUAUGGCUAGCUGGCAAAAGAAUAAAUUCAUAUUUUUUUAAAAUGUAUUCUCUAAAUUGGAGCCUCUUUAUAGAAAUUUUGUUUGACCAACAACAUGCAUUAAACUUUUCCAGCUGUUUUGGCUGUUAGUUUCAGUAUUUUGAUUUUUUUGUACAAUUUUUUAGGACUUGGCAUUUGGUUUAUCACUUUCAGUACUGCUUGGGGAUAAUAUCUACAACUUUGGCGAGCUGCUGGCACAUCCUAUUAGUUAAUUUAACAGAUGGUCUUGAAGAGCUGGCUGGGCGGACUGUUGCCUUGGCAUUUGUUGGAAUGUCAAUUGUAGUGCUUCCAAUAUGUCCUGUGUUGGACACAAGAGAGAGGUCAUUCUUGAAAAACAACUGGUACAGAUUACAGGAAAAGAAAGAGCUGAUCUUAAGGUGAAGAGAGCAUUGAUAAUUAUAGCUAUUUUGAAUGGAUUAACUUAUGGGAUGAUUUUAAUUGGCUUUUACAUUUGCAAGUGGAGAGCAUUUUAUGGAGAAGAUAAGAAAUGAAUUUUCUAUCUAAUCUGUGAAGUGUGUGGAAGGUUUCUAUGAGGCAGAAAUAAAAUUUUGAAGAGAAAGAGAAAGAUAUCUGGCUGGCUGGCUGGUAUGAGGUAGAUAAAGUGUGUGGUCACCAUUUGCCUCAUGGAUAACUGGUUGAUUAUUAGCCAAGUUGGACAAAAAUGGGGUAGAUUGAAUAUUGCAGAAGAUGAUGAUGGGCAACCAAGGAAGAAGGUUCAUCUAGGUGUUCCAGCGACACAAUGGAUUUCAGUUUACAAUGCUCGCCAGCCAAUGAAACAGAGAGAGCUGCUGGUGCAGCUUUUGAAGAUGUGCAAAAGCAGAUGGAAGACAUAUUGGGAGCUAUUGAAACAAAAUCUGAGAGUAUCACAAAAUUUUAAAGUGAUCUUGAAAGGAGCAAACUCGAAGUAUUGGAAGCUCAUAAAGUGGAACAAGUUCGUGUUUUAAUGAUGUAUAGGGAGGGGCUCGGUAGGGACGGUGGCUGGGCGCAGGGCUGGCUGGUUCGGUUCUCAACUUCACGGCGGCAGCAGCUAUCAACACUUGAACCAAUGAUCACUGGAUUGCAAGAAUCAUUGCCAAAGUCCAUUAGAUUGCUUCCUUUUUAUGGAGGUGUGGCAGAUGCUGAACAGAGAGAAGUAGAUACCUGGCACUUCAUGUAAAUAGCCCCUUGGCUGGGUUUACUUCCCAGUGCUGAUGGGGAAGUAUUACAUUCUCAAGAUGGUAGAGAUAGUCCAAUUCUCAGUCUCUUUAAAUUAGUCACUGCUGCAAUAUUAUCUAAGCCAAGGUGCCCAAAUCUAACCUCUUUCAGCACCCUAUCAAAACAAACAGAAGCUGUAGAUGUGACAAGCGAAAUAGAAAAUGAUACUUAAUUUUGAAGGCUUUGUGUUGGGCAGCAGUAGAAUAUUUUGUGCUGAAAGUAGUAACUUUUCAAUAUGUUGAAGAUUUAAGACUACUUGAAUACUUAAAGAAAUUUUUGUUGUUGAUGACAAUGUUGAAUGUUUUAAACUAAUUUGUGGAUUGUUAAUACAAUGUUGAAUGUUUUUA